rnacentral:tRNA from 1 species
GGAAAUAUGGCUCAGUGGUAGAGUACUUGCUUUAGUAUGCAUGAAGCCCUGGGUUCAAUUCCUAGUACUUCAA